GCUAGAGCUCUCGGGGAAGAGGAGGGGACUGAGGGACUCUCUCAAGCAAAGUGAAACCCCUGAAGGAGGAGGAUGUGUUUAAAUAGGCAACAGGGGUCGGAGCAGUUAUGAUCGCGGAUCUCCUCUGGCCGACCUACACUUGCCGCAUGUCCCACUCACUAUGACAAGCUGUCGAAAAUGACUGACAGCUGACAAAGUCAUUAUUGCACCGUACCU
rnacentral:lncRNA from 1 species